AGUCGAGCGGUAAGGCCCUUCGGGGUACACGAGCGGCGAACGGGUGAGUAACACGUGGGUGAUCUGCCUCGCACUUCGGGAUAAGCCUGGGAAACUGGGUCUAAUACCGGAUAUGACCUGCUGUCGCAUGGCGGUGGGUGGAAAGAUUUAUCGGUGCGAGAUGGGCCCGCGGCCUAUCAGCUUGUUGGUGGGGUAAUGGCCUACCAAGGCGACGACGGGUAGCCGGCCUGAGAGGGCGACCGGCCACACUGGGACUGAGACACGGCCCAGACUCCUACGGGAGGCAGCAGUGGGGAAUAUUGCACAAUGGGCGAAAGCCUGAUGCAGCGACGCCGCGUGAGGGAUGACGGCCUUCGGGUUGUAAACCUCUUUCGACAGGGACGAAGCGCAAGUGACGGUACCUGUAGAAGAAGCACCGGCCAACUACGUGCCAGCAGCCGCGGUAAUACGUAGGGUGCGAGCGUUGUCCGGAAUUACUGGGCGUAAAGAGCUUGUAGGCGGUUUGUCGCGUCGUCCGUGAAAACUUGGGGCUCAACCCCAAGCUUGCGGGCGAUACGGGCAGACUUGAGUACUGCAGGGGAGACUGGAAUUCCUGGUGUAGCGGUGAAAUGCGCAGAUAUCAGGAGGAACACCGGUGGCGAAGGCGGGUCUCUGGGCAGUAACUGACGCUGAGAAGCGAAAGCGUGGGUAGCGAACAGGAUUAGAUACCCUGGUAGUCCACGCCGUAAACGGUGGGUACUAGGUGUGGGUUUCCUUCCACGGGAUCCGUGCCGUAGCUAACGCAUUAAGUACCCCGCCUGGGGAGUACGGCCGCAAGGCUAAAACUCAAAGGAAUUGACGGGGGCCCGCACAAGCGGCGGAGCAUGUGGAUUAAUUCGAUGCAACGCGAAGAACCUUACCUGGGUUUGACAUACACCGGAAACCUGCAGAGAUGUAGGCCCCCUUGUGGUCGGUGUACAGGUGGUGCAUGGCUGUCGUCAGCUCGUGUCGUGAGAUGUUGGGUUAAGUCCCGCAACGAGCGCAACCCUUAUCUUAUGUUGCCAGCGCGUAAUGGCGGGGACUCGUGAGAGACUGCCGGGGUCAACUCGGAGGAAGGUGGGGACGACGUCAAGUCAUCAUGCCCCUUAUGUCCAGGGCUUCACACAUGCUACAAUGGCCGGUACAGAGGGCUGCGAUACCGUGAGGUGGAGCGAAUCCCUUAAAGCCGGUCUCAGUUCGGAUCGGGGUCUGCAACUCGACCCCGUGAAGUUGGAGUCGCUAGUAAUCGCAGAUCAGCAACGCUGCGGUGAAUACGUUCCCGGGCCUUGUACACACCGCCCGUCACGUCAUGAAAGUCGGUAACACCCGAAGCCGGU
rnacentral:rRNA from 1 species